AUGAACAAAACAAAACAGAAAACAUAUCCUAGCUACUUGGGCCGGCUCAUCUGCGGUUUGUUCGCUGUCGAGGAUGGACUUGCAACUGGGACAAAAAAAUGUCGGACCCCCAAUGGCAAGUCGAGGGUGGACUCGCAAUUGGGACUAAAAAAGUCAGCCCCUAGUUGUGUGUUCUGUUUAGACUUGCAACUGGGACAACAAAGGUUGGGCCCCGGUUGCGAGUCAAGGGUGGACUUGCAACUGGGACAAGAAAAGAUCGAGCCCCAACUGCGAGUCGGCCGUGGACUUGCGACUAAACACAAAAAGGUCGGGCCCCAGUUGCGAAUCGAGAGUGGACUUGCAAUUGGGAGUAAAAAAACUCGGGCUGCAGCUGCGAGUCGAGGGUGGACUUGCAACUCGAACAAAAGGUUGGACCCUAGUUGCGAGUUGAUGGUGAACUUACAACUCAGACAAAAAAAGUUUGUCCCCAGUUGCAAGUCAAAGGUGGACUUGCAACUCGAACAAAACAGGUCGGGCCUGAGUUGCGAGUCGAGGGUGGACUUGCAACUUGGACAAAAGAAAAUUCUCGCCCUAUUUGUGAGUCGAGAGUGGAUCUGGAACUAG
rnacentral:rRNA from 1 species